rnacentral:rRNA from 1 species
GAUGAACGCUAGCUACAGGCUUAACACAUGCAAGUCGAGGGACCGGCGCACGGGUGAGUAACACGUAUCCAACCUGCCCUUUACUCGGGGAUAGCCUUUCGAAAGAAAGAUUAAUACCCGAUAUAACGGAUGGGGAGGCGUUCCAUUAGGUUGUUGGUAAGGUAACGGCUCACCAAGCCUUCGAUGGAUGGGGGUUCUGAGAGGAAGGUACACCACAUUGGAACUGAGUAACGGUCCAAACACGUACGGGAGGCAGCAGUGAGGAAGAUUGGUCAAUGGGCGCUAGCCUGAACCAGCCAAGUAGCGUGAAGGAUGAAGGGUUAUGGGUCGUAAACUUCUUUUAUAUAAGAAUAUGUAUUAUAUGAAUAAGGAUCGGCUAACUCCGUGCCAGCCGCCGCGGUAAUAC